UACGGAGGGGGCUAGCGUUAUUCGGAAUUACUGGGCGUAAAGCGCACGUAGGCGGCUUUGUAAGUUAGAGGUGAAAGCCCGGAGCUCAACUCCGGAACUGCCUUUAAGACUGCAUCGCUUGAAUCCAGGAGAGGUGAGUGGAAUUCCGAGUGUAGAGGUGAAAUUCGUAGAUAUUCGGAAGAACACCAGUGGCGAAGGCGGCUCACUGGACUGGUAUUGACGCUGAGGUGCGAAAGCGUGGGGAGCAAACAGG
rnacentral:rRNA from 1 species